rnacentral:lncRNA from 1 species
UAGUGUUAUUAGUGUUCUUGUUUUGCUAAAUUUUGUAUAUUGUUAUCAAGAAAUGAGAAGAUUGAUAGUGUUAUUAGUGUUCUUGUUUUGCUAAAUUUUGUAUAUUAUUAUCAAGAAAUAAGAAGAUUGAUAGGGUUAUUAGUGUUCUUGUUUUGCUAAAUUUUGUAUAUUGUUAUCAAGAAAUGAGAAAAUUGAUAGUGUUAUUAGUGUUCUUGUUUUGCUAAAUUUUUUUUAUUGUUAUCAAGAAAUGAGAAGAUUGAUAGUUUUAUUUGUGUUCUUGUUUUGCUAAAUUUUGUAUAUUGUUAUCAAGAAAUGAGAAGAUUGAUAGUGUUAUUAGUGUUCUUAGUGUUCUUAAUUUUGUAUAUUGUUAUCAAGAAAUAGGAAGGUUGAUAGUGUUAUUAGUGUUCUUGUUUUGCUUAAUUUUGUAUAUUGUUAUCAAGAAAUGAGAAGAUUGAUAGUGUUAUUUGUGUGCUUGUUAUUAAGAAACGUUUGACGCUGACCCUUUAGCAAAAUCUCUCAAAAAUGAAAGGCAUUGCCAUGGGGAAUUCUCCAUGGCUUCUAUUUAGUCAAAUAAGAAUAUGGAAUAUCACAACCAAGUCGAUGUAAGCCAUGACGCACUGUUCAUUUGAAUUUAUGAUGGCUUCAAAGGCCACACCACUACUUCCUAUAUUCGUACGCACAUCUUUAGGACUCUAUUACGUGAGUUAUUUCUUUGCUUCUUUUUUCUUAGCAUACUAAUCUGUAUAUUGUUAUCAAGAAAUGAGAAGAUUGAUAGUGUUAUUAGUGUUCUUGUUUUGCUAAAUUUUGUAUAUUGUUAUCAAGAAAUGAGAAGAUUGAUAGUGUUAUUAGUGUUCUUGUUUUGCUAAAUUUUGUAUAUUGUUAUCAAGAAAUGAGAAGAUUGAUAGUGUUAUUAGUGUUCUUGUUUUGCUAAAUUUUGUAUAUUGUUAUCAAGAAAUGAGAAGAUUGAUAGUGUUAUUAGUGUUCUUGUUUUGCUAAAUUUUGUAUAUUGUUAUCAAGAAAUGAGAAGAUUGAUAGUGUUAUUAGUGUUCUUGUUUUGCUAAAUUUUGUAUAUUGUUAUCAAGAAAUGAGAAGAUUGAUAGUGUUAUUAGUGUUCUUGUUUUGCUAAAUUUUGUAUAUUGUUAUCAAGAAAUGAGAAGAUUGAUAGUGUUAUUAGUGUUCUUGUUUUGCUAAAUUUUGUAUAUUGUUAUCAAGAAAUGAGAAGAUUGAUAGUGUUAUUAGUGUUCUUGUUUUGCUAAAUUUUGUAUAUUGUUAUCAAGAAAUGAGAAGAUUGAUAGUGUUAUUAGUGUUCUUGUUUUGCUAAAUUUUGUAUAUUGUUAUCAAGAAAUGAGAAGAUUGAUAGUGUUAUUAGUGUUCUUGUUUUGCUAAAUUUUGUAUAUUGUUAUCAAGAAAUGAGAAGAUUGAUAGUGUUAUUAGUGUUCUUGUUUUGCUAAAUUUUGUAUAUUGUUAUCAAGAAAUGAGAAGAUUGAUAGUGUUAUUAGUGUUCUUGUUUUGCUAAAUUUUGUAUAUUGUUAUCAAGAAAUGAGAAGAUUGAUAGUGUUAUUAGUGUUCUUGUUUUGCUAAAUUUUGUAUAUUGUUAUCAAGAAAUGAGAAGAUUGAUAGUGUUAUUAGUGUUCUUGUUUUGCUAAAUUUUGUAUAUUGUUAUCAAGAAAUGAGAAGAUUGAUAGUGUUAUUAGUGUUCUUGUUUUGCUAAAUUUUGUAUAUUGUUAUCAAGAAAUGAGAAGAUUGAUAGUGUUAUUAGUGUUCUUGUUUUGCUAAAUUUUGUAUAUUGUUAUCAAGAAAUGAGAAGAUUGAUAGUGUUAUUAGUGUUCUUGUUUUGCUAAAUUUUGUAUAUUGUUAUCAAGAAAUGAGAAGAUUGAUAGUGUUAUUAGUGUUCUUGUUUUGCUAAAUUUUGUAUAUUGUUAUCAAGAAAUGAGAAGAUUGAUAGUGUUAUUAGUGUUCUUGUUUUGCUAAAUUUUGUAUAUUGUUAUCAAGAAAUGAGAAGAUUGAUAGUGUUAUUAGUGUUCUUGUUUUGCUAAAUUUUGUAUAUUGUUAUCAAGAAAUGAGAAGAUUGAUAGUGUUAUUAGUGUUCUUGUUUUGCUAAAUUUUGUAUAUUGUUAUCAAGAAAUGAGAAGAUUGAUAGUGUUAUUAGUGUUCUUGUUUUGCUAAAUUUUGUAUAUUGUUAUCAAGAAAUGAGAAGAUUGAUAGUGUUAUUAGUGUUCUUGUUUUGCUAAAUUUUGUAUAUUGUUAUCAAGAAAUGAGAAGAUUGAUAGUGUUAUUAGUGUUCUUGUUUUGCUAAAUUUUGUAUAUUGUUAUCAAGAAAUGAGAAGAUUGAUAGUGUUAUUAGUGUUCUUGUUUUGCUAAAUUUUGUAUAUUGUUAUCAAGAAAUGAGAAGAUUGAUAGUGUUAUUAGUGUUCUUGUUUUGCUAAAUUUUGUAUAUUGUUAUCAAGAAAUGAGAAGAUUGAUAGUGUUAUUAGUGUUCUUGUUUUGCUAAAUUUUGUAUAUUGUUAUCAAGAAAUUUGAAGAUUGAUAGUGUUAUUAGUGUUCUUGUUAUCAAGAAAUGUUUGACGCUGACCCUUUAGCAAAAACUCUAAAAAAUGAAAGGCAUUGCCAUGGGGAAUUCUCCAUGGCUUCUGUUCAGUCAAAUAAGGAUAUGGAAGAUCACAACCAAGUCAAUGUAAGUCAUGACGCACUGUUCAUUUGAAUUUAUGAUAGCUUCAAAGCCCACACCACUGUUUCCUAUAUUCGUACGCACAUCUUUAUGACUCUAUUACGUGAGUUAUUUCUUUGCUACUUUUUUCUUAGCAUACAAAUCUGUAUAUUGUUAUCAAGAAAUGAGAAGAUUGAUAGUGUUAUUAGUAUUCUUGUUUUGCUAAAUUUUGUAUAUUGUUAUCAAGAAAUGAGAAGAUUGAUAGUGUUAUUAGUGUUCUUUAUUUGCUAAAUUUUGUAUAUCGUUAUCAAGAAAUGAGAAGAUUGAUAGUGUUAUUAGUGUUCUUGUUUUGCUAAAUUUUGUAUAUUGUUAUCAAGAAAUGAGAAGAUUGAUAGUGUUAUUAGUGUUCUUGUUUUGCUAAAUUUUGUAUAUUGUUAUCAAGAAAUGAGAAGAUUGAUAGUGUUAUUAGUGUUCUUGUUUUGCUAAAUUUUGUAUAUUGUUAUCAAGAAAUGAGAAGAUUGAUAGUGUUAUUAGUGUUCUUGUUUUGCUAAAUUUUGUAUAUUGUUAUCAAGAAAUGAGAAGAUUGAUAGUGUUAUUAGUGUUCUUGUUUUGCUAAAUUUUGUAUAUUGUUAUCAAGAAAUGAGAAGAUUGAUAGUGUUAUUAGUGUUCUUGUUUUGCUAAAUUUUGUAUAUUGUUAUCAAGAAAUGAGAAGAUUGAUAGUGUUAUUAGUGUUCUUGUUUUGCUAAAUUUUGUAUAUUGUUAUCAAGAAAUGAGAAGAUUGAUAGUGUUAUUAGUGUUCUUGUUUUGCUAAAUUUUGUAUAUUGUUAUCAAGAAAUGAGAAGAUUGAUAGUGUUAUUAGUGUUCUUGUUUUGCUAAAUUUUGUAUAUUGUUAUCAAGAAAUGAGAAGAUUGAUAGUGUUAUUAGUGUUCUUGUUUUGCUAAAUUUUGUAUAUUGUUAUCAAGAAAUGAGAAGAUUGAUAGUGUUAUUAGUGUUCUUGUUUUGCUAAAUUUUGUAUAUUGUUAUCAAGAAAUGAGAAGAUUGAUAGUGUUAUUAGUGUUCUUGUUUUGCUAAAUUUUGUAUAUUGUUAUCAAGAAAUGAGAAGAUUGAUAGUGUUAUUAGUGUUCUUGUUUUGCUAAAUUUUGUAUAUUGUUAUCAAGAAAUGAGAAGAUUGAUAGUGUUAUUAGUGUUCUUGUUUUGCUAAAUUUUGUAUAUUGUUAUCAAGAAAUGAGAAGAUUGAUAGUGUUAUUAGUGUUCUUGUUUUGCUAAAUUUUGUAUAUUGUUAUCAAGAAAUGAGAAGAUUGAUAGUGUUAUUAGUGUUCUUGUUUUGCUAAAUUUUGUAUAUUGUUAUCAAGAAAUGAGAAGAUUGAUAGUGUUAUUAGUGUUCUUGUUUUGCUAAAUUUUGUAUAUUGUUAUCAAGAAAUGAGAAGAUUGAUAGUGUUAUUAGUGUUCUUGUUUUGCUAAAUUUUGUAUAUUGUUAUCAAGAAAUGAGAAGAUUGAUAGUGUUAUUAGUGUUCUUGUUUUGCUAAAUUUUGUAUAUUGUUAUCAAGAAAUGAGAAGAUUGAUAGUGUUAUUAGUGUUCUUGUUUUGCUAAAUUUUGUAUAUUGUUAUCAAGAAAUGAGAAGAUUGAUAGUGUUAUUAGUGUUCUUGUUUUGCUAAAUUUUGUAUAUUGUUAUCAAGAAAUGAGAAGAUUGAUAGUGUUAUUAGUGUUCUUGUUUUGCUAAAUUUUGUAUAUUGUUAUCAAGAAAUGAGAAGAUUGAUAGUGUUAUUAGUGUUCUUGUUUUGCUAAAUUUUGUAUAUUGUUAUCAAGAAAUGAGAAGAUUGAUAGUGUUAUUAGUGUUCUUGUUUUGCUAAAUUUUGUAUAUUGUUAUCAAGAAAUGAGAAGAUUGAUAGUGUUAUUAGUGUUCUUGUUUUGCUAAAUUUUGUAUAUUGUUAUCAAGAAAUGAGAAGAUUGAUAGUGUUAUUAGUGUUCUUGUUUUGCUAAAUUUUGUAUAUUGUUAUCAAGAAAUGAGAAGAUUGAUAGUGUCAUUUGUGUUCUUGUUUUGCUAAAUUUUGUAUAUUGUUAUCAAGAAAUGAGAAGAUUGAUAGUGUUAUUAGUGUUCUUGUUUUGCUAAAUUUUGUAUAUU